rnacentral:rRNA from 1 species
UACGUAGGGUGCAAGCGUUGUCCGGAAUUAUUGGGCGUAAAGAGCUCGUAGGUGGCGGGUCACGUCGGGUGUGAAAGCCCGGGGCUUAACCCCGGGUCUGCAUUCGAUACGGGCUUGCUAGGGUCCGGCAGGGGAGACUGGAAUUCCUGGUGUAGCGGUGAAAUGCGCAGAUAUCAGGAGGAACACCGGUGGCGAAGGCGGGUCUCUGGGCCAGUACCGACGCUGGAGGAGCGAAAGCGUGGGGAGCGAACAGG